GGGUUGUGAGGUUAAGCGACUAAGCGUACACGGUGGAUGCCCUGGCAGUCAGAGGCGAUGAAGGACGUGCUAAUCUGCGAUAAGCGCCGGUAAGGUGAUAUGAACCGUUAUAACCGGCGAUUUCCGAAUGGGGAAACCCAGUGUGAUUCGUCACACUAUCAUUAACUGAAUCCAUAGGUUAAUGAGGCGAACCGGGGGAACUGAAACAUCUAAGUACCCCGAGGAAAAGAAAUCAACCGAGAUUCCCCCAGUAGCGGCGAGCGAACGGGGAGGAGCCCAGAGCCUGAAUCAGCAUGUGUGUUAGUGGAAGCGUCUGGAAAGGCGCGCGAUACAGGGUGACAGCCCCGUACACAAAAGCGCAUGUGCUGUGAGCUCGAUGAGUAGGGCGGGACACGUGGUAUCCUGUCUGAAUAUGGGGGGACCAUCCUCCAAGGCUAAAUACUCCUGACUGACCGAUAGUGAACCAGUACCGUGAGGGAAAGGCGAAAAGAACCCCGGCGAGGGGAGUGAAAAAGAACCUGAAACCGUGUACGUACAAGCAGUGGGAGCACAGGUUUACCUGUGUGACUGCGUACCUUUUGUAUAAUGGGUCAGCGACUUAUAUUCUGUAGCAAGGUUAACCGUAUAGGGGAGCCGUAGGGAAACCGAGUCUUAACCGGGCGUUAAGUUGCAGGGUAUAGACCCGAAACCCGGUGAUCUAGCCAUGGGCAGGUUGAAGGUUGGGUAACACUAACUGGAGGACCGAACCGACUAAUGUUGAAAAAUUAGCGGAUGACCUGUGGCUGGGGGUGAAAGGCCAAUCAAACCGGGAGAUAGCUGGUUCUCCCCGAAAGCUAUUUAGGUAGCGCCUCGUGAACUCAUCUCCGGGGGUAGAGCACUGUUUCGGCUAGGGGGCCAUCCCGGCUUACCAACCCGAUGCAAACUGCGAAUACCGGAGAAUGUUAUCACGGGAGACACACGGCGGGUGCUAACGUCCGUCGUGAAGAGGGAAACAACCCAGACCGCCAGCUAAGGUCCCAAAGUCAUGGUUAAGUGGGAAACGAUGUGGGAAGGCCCAGACAGCCAGGAUGUUGGCUUAGAAGCAGCCAUCAUUUAAAGAAAGCGUAAUAGCUCACUGGUCGAGUCGGCCUGCGCGGAAGAUGUAACGGGGCUAAACCAUGCACCGAAGCUGCGGCAGCGACACUCAGGUGUUGUUGGGUAGGGGAGCGUUCUGUAAGCCUGUGAAGGUGGCCUGUGAGGGUUGCUGGAGGUAUCAGAAGUGCGAAUGCUGACAUAAGUAACGAUAAAGCGGGUGAAAAGCCCGCUCGCCGGAAGACCAAGGGUUCCUGUCCAACGUUAAUCGGGGCAGGGUGAGUCGACCCCUAAGGCGAGGCCGAAAGGCGUAGUCGAUGGGAAACGGGUUAAUAUUCCCGUACUUGGUGUUACUGCGAAGGGGGGACGGAGAAGGCUAUGUUGGCCGGGCGACGGUUGUCCCGGUUUAAGCGUGUAGGUGUGUGUUCCAGGUAAAUCCGGUUCACUUUAACACUGAGGCGUGA
rnacentral:rRNA from 1 species